AUUGAACGCUGGCGGCAGGCCUAACACAUGCAAGUCGAACGGUAACAGAAAGCAGCUUGCUGCUUUGCUGACGAGUGGCGGACGGGUGAGUAAUGUCUGGGAAACUGCCUGAUGGAGGGGGAUAACUACUGGAAACGGUAGCUAAUACCGCAUAACGUCGCAAGACCAAAGAGGGGGACCUUAGGGCCUCUUGCCAUCGGAUGUGCCCAGAUGGGAUUAGCUAGUAGGUGGGGUAACGGCUCACCUAGGCGACGAUCCCUAGCUGGUCUGAGAGGAUGACCAGCCACACUGGAACUGAGACACGGUCCAGACUCCUACGGGAGGCAGCAGUGGGGAAUAUUGCACAAUGGGCGCAAGCCCGAUGCAGCCAUGCCGCGUGUAUGAAGAAGGCCUUCGGGUUGUAAAGUACUUUCAGCGGGGAGGAAGGGAGUAAAGUUAAUACCUUUGCUCAUUGACGUUACCCGCAGAAGAAGCACCGGCUAACUCCGUGCCAGCAGCCGCGGUAAUACGGAGGGUGCAAGCGUUAAUCGGAAUUACUGGGCGUAAAGCGCACGCAGGCGGUUUGUUAAGUCAGAUGUGAAAUCCCCGGGCUCAACCUGGGAACUGCAUCUGAUACUGGCAAGCUUGAGUCUCGUAGAGGGGGGUAGAAUUCCAGGUGUAGCGGUGAAAUGCGUAGAGAUCUGGAGGAAUACCGGUGGCGAAGGCGGCCCCCUGGACGAAGACUGACGCUCAGGUGCGAAAGCGUGGGGAGCAAACAGGAUUAGAUACCCUGGUAGUCCACGCCGUAAACGAUGUCGACUUGGAGGUUGUGCCCUUGAGGCGUGGCUUCCGGAGCUAACGCGUUAAGUCGACCGCCUGGGGAGUACGGCCGCAAGGUCAAAACUCAAAUGAAUUGACGGGGGCCCGCACAAGCGGUGGAGCAUGUGGUUUAAUUCGAUGCAACGCGAAGAACCUUACCUGGUCUUGACAUCCACGGAAGUUUUCAGAGAUGAGAAUGUGCCUUCGGGAACCGUGAGACAGGUGCUGCAUGGCUGUCGUCAGCUCGUGUUGUGAAAUGUUGGGUUAAGUCCCGCAACGAGCGCAACCCUUAUCCUUUGUUGCCAGCGGUCCGGCCGGGAACUCAAAGGAGACUGCCAGUGAUAAACUGGAGGAAGGUGGGGAUGACGUCAGGUCAUCAUGGCCCUUACGACCAGGGCUACACACGUGCUACAAUGGCGCAUACAAAGAGAAGCGACCUCGCGAGAGCAAGCGGACCUCAUAAAGUGCGUCGUAGUCCGGAUUGGAGUCUGCAACUCGACUCCAUGAAGUCGGAAUCGCUAGUAAUCGUGGAUCAGAAUGCCACGGUGAAUACGUUCCCGGGCCU
rnacentral:rRNA from 1 species